rnacentral:snoRNA from 1 species
UGUUGAGUGAUGAAAAAAAAUCAAUCGGAUUCCCAUUGAUAUUUUAUACGUGAGAUUAACCAGUUACUUCUGACAACA